rnacentral:lncRNA from 1 species
UUUUUUUUCCCCUUUGUUAGAUUACAAGUUCAGUCUUGUACCAAAACUUUCUGUCUAAUAAAUUUUCUAACUCUAAAUUCCAUACACAAUUUCAUUUUGUGUUGCUGCCGAGCAUGACCUGGCAAAGAGGAAGGCUCUGGAAAGAAGGGGCGAUAUGGGCGUAAACAACCAGCAAGUAAAAGGAAGAAGUCACAAAAUUCUAAAAUUUCAGUUUUAUAUCUAUGAAGCUUAAAUGAGUUGUUGUACACUCAAUGAAGUAGAAAGAAAAGAAAAUGAGCUAUGGUCGUCAACUUAAAAAUAUUUACGAAUAAUGAAUUAUAUUAGUAAUAUAAGUUAAAUGAAGGAUAAAAUUUAUAUUAAAUUUGGUUAGGUUGGCAAGUCUUUUUAAAGUAAUAGCUCUAAAAAACUGCUAUAGAUUACAAUUUACUUUUUAAUAAAGGAAAACACAUUGAACAUAGUAAAAUCACACCCAAAAGCAUGAUAAUAUAGAUAGGCCAUAAUUAAUAUGAAAAGAUUUCUGGUUUUUCCCAAGUGUCACACCAAUGGCUGUUUCCAUGGCAUAAAUAAAAUGCCUAUAAUUAAUUUUCUCAAAGUGCCAAUGCCAAACACUUUUAUAUAUUGGUAUUGCCAAACCCAUCAACCCAUCAACCCAUCAACCCAUCAACCCAUCAACAUUCUUCUUCUUCUUCUUCUUCUUCUUCUUCUUCUUCUUCACCAAAUAUAUACCCUUUUUUUUCCAUUAUUUGAUAAUCAUCACCUUCAAAUUUCCAACUUUGGUUUUUCUCUUUCUUUUAUUGUGAGUUAGCCAAUUAAAAUGAAGAUCUCAGUCAAAUUCCCAUUUUUCAACUUCCACUAAUUUCACUAUAUAAUUGUUGGCAUCAAGAAGGCAAUUUUCUUAACAGCACCACAGUAUGUAAUCUUCUUCAAUCUCAGCUCUACAAGGACAGAUUAUAAAGCUUCUUCCUUUUCUUCUUCUUCUUCUUCUUCUUCCCGUUUUGAGGGAUUUUUUUUCUUCUUCUCAAAAUGGGUGUUUUUGUUUCUCUCUGUUUAAAGCUCAAUUUUGGUGUGUGUGUGUUUGGCAAAAAAGCCUAAUUAGAAUUUGGCUGAUUUGUGAAACAACAUGUAGACAAAGGAAUUUAUCAUUAUGGUCAGGCACACAGGGCAAAGCCAGGCACUUAAAACGCUGCGUUUCAGUCAAAAGAAAGAAAAGAAAAGAAAAGAAAAGAAAAAGGUGAAGUUUGUUUUACAAAUUAAUUAGCUAUUUAACUGAAAAUUAUGAGAAUAAAUGAGGAUUGGAUCAAUUCCUGUAGUUUUGCUUCUCUUUCUCUUUUGUGUUGUUAUUUAGUAUCCAAAAAUGGCAGAAGCUUUUAUGAGUCAUUAUAAGUCUAUAAACAGCUUAUAAAACAAAAGCUUACACCAUAUAUAUAUAUAUUAUAUAUUACGGCCUGUACUGCAGAUUCUAAAGACUAGCUAGAGCUAGAUUCUGUUUUUCUUUUCUUUUCUUUUCUUUUUGGGUAUUAUUGUAAUGUUAUUGGGUGUGUGAUUCAGUAAAAACACAGCUGCAUCACGAGUGUAAUUUUUUUUAAACUUUAUAUGAACAAUUCAGUAACUUUAUACGUCUAUAUCUUCAGUAUCUUCUAUAUUUUGCAUUUGUUCAUCAAACUAUCAAGGUAAAAUACUACAUUCUUUUUCCUUCCAUGUUGUGUUUCAGAAAUGAUUCUUAUAUAUUCCACUUCUCCCAGUUCAACCAUUUGAAUGUUUCCAUUAUUCAUUUUCAACUUCAUAUAUGAACAAUAAUCUAAGAUAUCAGCAAUAUCUUUUAAGAACAGAUCGACAAGUAUCUUUGUUUUUGUUAUCAACUUAUAUUAUAUAACAGAAAAGUAUCUAUCUGUGAACAUUAUAAAAACAAAAACAAAUAAAAUAUAUGGGGUUUGAGAAAUGAUUCUCUCUCUCUCUCUCUAUAUAUAUAUAUAUAUAUUUCCCUCCUGUUAAAUUGCUUGAUAUAUAUUUUGAGUAGAAGUGUAAUGUUAGAAGACUAUAAAACUCAUAAACUAAUUAAGACAUCCUUUUAGAUUACAUGACAGCUGAAAUUAGGAUUAGUGCAAGUAAAAAGGAAACUAUUGUCUGAUAUACAUGAGUGAAAAUAAAGUAGUAUUUAUUCAUGGAACUUGACAUAUUAAAUCAGGUUCCUUCCAUAGAAUCAUAUCAAAGAAUUGAAAAGAGAUAAAAGAAUCUUCAUUGAACAGUACGGAACAGCUAGAGGAGAGAGUGGUGGUGGGAGCUAAUGCACGUCCUUCAAACCCACUUACGAGUUCAAGAAUAGAAGAGCAUUUUUAAUGUUGCGCAUACAUUUCCAAUCAAAACCAUUUAUUCACUCCUGUUUCAUCAAACAGAUCAGUUUUCAUCUUUUGAUUUCUUAACGAUUUUUUUUAACACAAAAUCUAAUGUUAAUUAGUCCAACGAUACAUAGAAUUUAGUUUCAAUUCGAGCAUAUAACUUAGUAUAUAAGGCACUAACCACCAUAUCUUAAAAGUUAAAAGGUUUGAUUAUUAUUCUAUCUCUAUUAUCGAUAAAGGAAUCAAUACAUAAAAACCAGAGAAACAAAGUGUUGUUUGGAGAAGUAGACUUCUGGCACUCUUCAAAAGGCCAUAAGCAUUUAUGGCAAAAUCAUUAAAGAAAUUUUAUGGGCAUAGAGUGGGAAUCAAACCAUAAAAAGGAAGCUAAAAAAAACAACUUUCUUUUACCAUUGAUUUUGACAAAAAGUUAUGAAAUGUGUGUGAUAAAAAAAUCCUUUGUCUUGACUAUUAUACAACAUGUGAUCUCAGGCAAUGAAAAUAAGAGAUAUGAUGACUUGAUCUUGCCUUUAAGUUAUCCUUUUCUAACUUAUAAUCAUAUUUCAUCUGUUAAAGUGUAUUUUUUUCAACAAUGACAACUAAUUAAACACGAUAUUCGACUUUUGUUAUGGAAUUUAACCUAACAAUUAAACCCCUUACGGCAUGGUAUGUCUUACACACUACCAAAACAUCAUUGACAUGAAUCCUUCUAAAAACAAGUGUUUCAUAUACAGUUGGCACGUAAUUCAAGGCAUUUAAAAGAAACUUUACUUUACUCGGUUUGGUACAUAAUCUUUGUAUGAUACUCUACUCUAAAGCUUAUAUGGGUACU